rnacentral:lncRNA from 1 species
CCCUAGGUUAAGAAUCUUAAUAAAAUUGUAUAUGCUUUCAAAUAUUCGUAUAUUUUAUUAAUUUGUAUGUGUAUUAAUGAAAUUGUGCAGAUGUCAAACCUGAUUAGACGUCGUAGGGCGAUGACGACUACGCAGAGUUCGGAGCCCCCGGCUCAGCCGACAUCUGCUGCCACUGCGCCAGCACUGAUGGACCACUUGGCAGUUGGUCCCGCGGGGUCCCAGGCGCCUACUUCAUCAGCUUCAUCAGUGGUGCAGCCUGUUAGCGCUAGGCGGCGUCAUCGCCCCACCAGC